CGGGCCGAUGGGAAGCCGCCCGGAACGGGCAUCUGGGCCCUCGCGGUGCCCCCGGAGUUACCCAGGACGGAUCCGGGCGCCAUGGCGACGGGGCGCGCCGCGUCCGAGUGAGGAAGGUGUAUUUGUGAAGCCAGCGUCUUUGACAGCUGGAGCUGGAGGCCGGCGGCCCCCAGACACUCCCAACCCCGCGCUGCCAGAGAGCCUUGUGGGAGCUGUAGUCCGAGCCUCAGCGCAGGACCAGGCCGGGAAUGGGCUAGAGUGGACUGCAACUCCCAGGAGGCCACGCUCCUGGGUGACACCUACUUUCCGGCACCGCCCACUAUUUUCCUUCCUCGGGAGGACCCGCCCCGCGGAGCCUCUGGGAAAUGUAGUACGAGGCCAUAGGCGUCUAGGCCCGCCACCUGGAGGACAAAGCUAGUGUAACUUUAAUUCCCUAUAACUUUUAGAAUACUUCUCAGGCUUCUUGGCGUCUCCGGAGCCGCCGAUUGCGCGCUUCUGGGGUGCGGGAACCUGACCAACGGUAACUUCGGGGAAUUACAGUGAGAGAAAUCUGUCUCACUGCCCCCUAGGCCCGGCCGGGGAGCCUAGGCUCCCAGGCACGCAAGGCCCCGUUCCCAGCCCGGCCCGGUCGUGCAUGCCCAUUGGGCGGACAGCCCCGCCUCCGCGCCUUCUGGGAAACGUAGUCUGACUCUCCGGGCUCUCGGCGGUGCCGACUGCUGGACUGGGGCUGGGCUCCGGCCGCAGGACUACAACUCCCGGAAUGCCCAUGCGGCGGGGCCCGUCGCUCCGGGGUCCCCGGCCGCGCUCUCCCAUUGGUCAGGGGCGGCCGCGCGGGGUUUUCGGGUCGUGGUAGUUCCGCUUCGUCCUCGGCGCCGCCGGCCGCGCGGCUCUGGUUUUUCUGCUGUGUGGGGCGCCCCGGGCGGUCUCUCCGGAGCCCCGAGCCGGUGGGCGCUGGGGGGAGCGGCUGGGGCUGCAGGCGUCUCCUUGAGGACCUCGGAGUCGGAAGAGGCCGUGGCCGCGGGGCCCCUGGCAGCCCGCCCCCCGGGGAGGGGCCGCGCGCCCUCCCUUCCCGGCUGGGUCUGGACCCUGCUCCCGGGCUCGGUGGGAGCCGGUGCCGCGGCCCGUCGUUGUGGCCCCGCGAGGCGGAGGACCUCCGUAAUCCUGCAGUCCUUGCAUCUGCGAAGUCCCGUAACCAGGAGGGACCGGAACAAAACCCCCCAGCUCCCAGAUGGCCUCAGCUACCGCACAUUCCCGUCAGCCGGAAGGGAACGUGUCUCAGUUCGCUUUUACGCAGCCGCCAUAGCCAUGAUUCCAAGACGUGUGACCUCUGAGCUCAGGCUCCCUUUGAACCAGGGGCGCCUGGGUGGCUCCGUCGGUUAAGCGCCUGCCUUCGGUCAGGUCACGGUCCCAGCGUCUUGGGAUCGAGCCCCGCAUCGGGCUCCUUGCUUGGCAGAGAGCCUGCUUCUCCCUCUCCCUGCUCUGCCUGCCGCUACCCCUGCUUGCGCUUUCUCUCUGACAAGAAAUAAAUAAAAUCUUAAAAACCACCCCAGGAGGUGGGAACUGCGUCCUAGGGCUGUUCCGAGGACUAAGAAAAUUUCCAUCAGGGGCAGGUAACCUUCGAUGACGUAGCAGUGGACUUCACCCAGGAGGAGUGGGGCCUGCUGGGCCCUGCCCGCGGACCCUGUACCGUGAUGUGAUGCUGGAGACCUUAAGACACCUGGUCCCUGUGGGACCUUGGAACCUCAAGCCAGAUAUUGUUGCCCACCUAGAACUUGGAGUAGAGCAACGGAUGAUGGACAGAGGACUCUCCCAAGAUUCCUGCCUAGAAUGGAAGAAGAAAGCUAAAAGCCAGGAGUUGUCACCAACAGAGGUCUUUUCUGGGAAAGAGUUAUCCAGCAGCAUGAACCUGACAAGAUCCGCAGUGGAUGAUGGCUGAUGUUCUACCACAGCAGACGACUGGGAAUCUGGGGAUGAGUCAGAGAAGCAGAAGAUGCACGGUGGCAGUUCGGGGCCAAUGGAACAUAAACAAGGAUGUUCAGGACGUAAACACAACGGACAAAACCAGGAUGCAGCUAAUGUGAAUUUAAAAAAAAAAAGGAAAAAGUAUAGCCUUUAAAGAACCCUCCAAAUCUACAACGGAAUUUCACCAACUCUGAAUAAAAUUUCCAUUCCAGUAAGAUACUGAUCCUCGAUCCCUGUAUAUGAUGUUUAUGAAUAUCUACCUGGAUAUUCCUCUAUGAUACGCUACUGAGGAGAGGUGGAAGCAAGGAAAACUCGGUGAGUUCCAAAGAGAGGAAAGCCUUUUCAGGUGAGCCCAGUGCCAUGCUGGAGACAAAUACCUGGACUGGGUGCAGGUGGGCAUCAAAGUGGCUGGUCACUGAUGGAGCAACUGCACAAAGGCUCUGGCUUUUGAUGACAGUGGGCUGGUGGAACAGAGCCCCAGAUUCGGGGCGGGAAAAACCCUGACUGCAAGAAUAAUUUCCUGAGAAUUACUUUUCUUGAGAAUCCCCUUAAGCCUAGGGGUGUCUGGGUGGCUCAGUCGGUUGAGCAUCGGACUCUUGAUUUUGGCUCAGGUCGUGAUCUCACAAUUGUGAGGUCAAGUCCCAUGUUGGGCUUCGUGCUCGGUGGGAGUCUACUUGAGAGUCUCUCCUCCCUCCGCCCCUCCCCCCAUUCCUCUCUGUCUCUAAAAUAAAUAAAAUCUGUAAGAAAAAAAUCCCCUUAGCCUAGAAUUCUGCUGAGUACCCAGAACAGUGAAAUGCUCUUCUAGGUACACCACUAAAUCAUUUUUGGCAAACACCUAUUAAGACACAGAACAUUCCCAUUACCCCAGAAAGUUCUUUCUUGUCCCUUUCUUGUCCCCAGACACUUCUUCCCUAUAUAUCCCAAAGCAGUGAUUUCUGUCAGCAUGGAUUAUUUUUGCCAAUUCUAGAAUUUACUAUGGUGAGGUUGUAGUCAUAUAUUUUGUGCAUUUUUGUGUCUCCUGCUUUCCCUCAGCAAAAAAUUUUUGAGACUUAUCUAUGUCAUUACAUAGAUCAGUAAUUCUUUUUUGUUGCUGUGUAGUAUUUACUCCAUUGUAUAAAUAUAGCACAAUUUAUCCAUUCUCAGAUUGAUGGAAACCUGGGAUGUUCCCAGUUUUUGCUUACUAUGAGUAAAGGUGCUAUGAACAUACUUAUCAAGGUUGUUUUGUUUUUAUGGGCAUAUGCUUUCAUUUCUCUUGUGGAAACUCCUAGAGGUGACAUGGCUGAGUGGAUGUAUGCUCAGCUUUUUAAGACACUGUCAGUUCUACAAAGUGGUUGUAAUACUUUCUGCAAGUACUGGCCAUGUAUUAGAAUUCCUGCUGCUCCACAUCCUCACCAAAUUUUGGCAUUGCUUUUUCAUUUUGGCCAUUCUAGUGAAUGAGCAUUUAUUUUUAUUUUUUUUAAAGAUUUUAUUUAUUUAUUUGACAGAGAAAGACACAGCGAGAGAGGGAACACAAGCAGGGGGAGUGGGAGAGGGAGAAGCAGGCUCCCCGCCAAGCAGGGAGCCCGAUGCGGGACUCGAUCCCGGGACUCCAGGAUCAUGACCUGAGCUGAAGGCAGUCACUUAACCAACUGAGCCACCCAGGCGCCCUGAGCAUUUUUUUAAAGAUUUAUUUACUUUAGAGAGAGCACACCAGCGGUGGGUGGGGGAGGAAGGGGAGCAGAGCGAGAGAGAGAGAGAAGCAGAUUCCCCACGGAGUGCAGAGGCAGUCGCAGGGCUCAAUCCCACAACCCUGAGAUCAUGACCUGAGCCGAAACCAAGAGUCACUCAACUGACUGAGCCACCCAGGUGCCCCUCUAGUGAGUGUUUAGUGAUACCUCAUUCUGGUGUGAUGACUAAUGGUAGUUAAUACUUUUUCAUGUGCUUAUUGGCUGCUUGGCAUUGUUUAUUCAAGCCUCUCGCCCAUUUUUUGUUAGGUUGUUUGUCUUUAUUAUUGAGUUGUAGGAGUUGUGUAUAUAUUCUGGAUACAAGUCCUUUGUUAAAUGUAUAUGCUGCAAAUAUUUUUUUUUUUAAGGUUUUUUUAUUUAUUCAUUCCAGACACAGAGAUACAGAGAGAGAGACAGAACAUGAGUAGGGGGAGAAGCAGAGGGAGGGGGAGAAGCAGGCCCCCCGCCGAGCAGGGAGCCCGAUGCGGGGCUCCAUCCCAGGACCCUGGGAUCAUGACCUGAGCCGAAGGCAGACGCUUAACCAUCUGAGCCACCCAGGUGCCCCUGCAAAUAUUUUAUAAACAAAAUUUUAGCAAAUUGAAUCCAAUAAUAAUAAAAUAAUAGAAAUUUAAAAAGUCAUGACCAAGUGGGAUUAUCUAAAAAAAUGCAGGGUCGGUUUAACCAAAAUCAAUAAAUGUAUUUCACUGUAUUAACAAGCUAAAAAAAAAAAUAUAUGAUUAUCUCAAUACAUGCAGAAAAAAAUUGACAAAAUCCAACAGUCAUUCCUGAUUUAAAAAACAAACAAACAAACAACUCUCACCAAACUUGGAAUAGAAGGCAAUGUCCUCAACCUGACAAAGGACAUCUACACCAACAGGUAAUAUCAUACCGGUAAAAAACUGAAUGCUUACCCCCGAAGAUUAGAACAAGGUGAGGAUGUCUGAUUGCACCACUUCUAAUCAACAUUGUAAUGGAGGUUCUGGCCAAGGCAAUUAGCAAGAAAAUGGAAUAAAAGGAAUCUUAGAUUGGGAAGGACAUUAUUUUACUUUUAUUUUUUAAGAAUUAUUCAUUUGAGGGACGCCUGAGUGGCUCAGUCCUUAAGCGUCCGGCUUCGGCUCUAGUCAUGAUCCCAGGGUCCUGGGAUCAAGCUCCGCAUCGGGCCCCUGCUUGGCAGGAGGCCUGCUUCUCCCUCUCCACUCCCCCUGCUUGUGUUCCUUCUCUCACUGUGUCUCUCUCUGUCAAAUAAAUAAAAUCUUAAAAAAAAAAAAAAAAAAGAAUUAUUCAUCUGAGAGUGAGAGAGAACAAUUUGGGGGAGAGGGAAAAUCUCAAGCCAACCCCCCACUGAGCACGAAGCCCAAUGGGGAGCUCCAUCCCAGGACCCCGAGAUCACGACCUGAGCGGAAAUCAAGAGCCAGAAGCUCAACUGACGGAGCCAUCCAGUUGUCCUGGAAAAGACAUUUAAAAAAAAUCCAUCUUUGCUUCAAAAGAUACCAUAAACAAAGUAAAAGGUAAGUCAAAACUUGGAAAGGAUAACAUUCCUAAUAAAGGAUUAAUGUUAAAUUUCUGUGAAGAACUUCUAUAAGCCAGGAAGAAAAAGACAACCUGAGAGAAAAACGCAUGAAGUGAGAUAAUUCAAGGAGAGAACACACAAAUGGCUAACACUGUGAAAAGAUGCUGAAUCUCACCAAUAAGAGAAGAGCAAACAUCUCAGAAUGAAAUACCAUUUUCUACCCAUACUUUUUAAUUUAAAAAGCUGACACUACCAAGCAUUGGUGAGCAUGUGGAGCAAGUGGAACUCCUAACCGUUGCUAAGAGGUGUACGAAAAGGUGCAGUCCUGGGGCACCUGGGUGGCUCAGUCGUUAAGCGUCUGCCUUUGGCUCAAGUCAUGAUCCCAGCGUCCUGGGAUUGAGCCCCGGGUCGGGCUUCCUGCUCAGUGGGAGCCUGCUUCUCCCUCUCCCACUCCCCCUGGUUGUGUUCCCUCUCUCGCUGUGUCUCUCUCUGUCAAAUAAAUAAAUAAAUAAAAUCUUUAAAAAAAGAAAAGAAAAGGUGCAAUCCUUUUGGAAACAUCUACCAACAUUGGACAUAAAUAUUCAUUUGCUAUGGCCCAUCAGGACCACUCUGAGGGCUUACCCCAGAGAGCCCCUGCGUCUGUCCAUAAGGAGACCUGUAUAUGAAUUUUCAUAGCAACAUCAUUUAUAGGAGCUGGAAGCCUUUUGCUUGCAAUGCUUUUCCCCAGAUACCUGCAUGGCUGGCUUUCUCCCUGCCUUUAGGUCUUUGCUUGCAUAUUACCUUCUUAGUGGGCCCUUCCCUGAGCCACCAACUUAAAAUCACAACCACCUCCUCCCCGAUUCUUUGCCCCCCUCCUUACUUGGCCUUUAGCAAUUAACCCCAUCCGAUGUGUUAUAUAUUUUACUUAUUUCUCUCUCUCUUUUUUUUAAGGUUUUAUUUAUUUGUCAGAGAGAGAGAGCACAAGCAGAGGGAGCAGCAGGCAGAGCAGGCAGAGGGAGAAGCAGGCUCCCUGCCAAGCAAGGAUCCCCUGCAGGGCUCGAUUCCAGGACCCUGGAAUCAUGACCUGAGCUGAAGGCAGACGCUUAACCGACUGAGCCACCCAGGCGUCCCUUUACUUACUUUUCUAUUGUGCACUCUCCUCCAGAAUGUGAGCUCCUUGAGGUUAGUGGUUUUGUGAUUUUUACUCACUACUUUAUUCCCAGCUCCUGCAUUAUAGGUUCUUAUUUUUUUUAAGGAUUUGUUUACUUAUUUGAGAGAGAGACAGAGACACAGAGAGCACAUGAGAGAGUUGGGGGGAGGGACAGACAGAAUCUCCAGCAGACACCCUGCUGAGCCCGGAGCCUGAUGCGGGGGCUCAGUCUCAGGACCCUGAAAUCAUGACCUGAACUGAAACUAAGAGUUGGAUGCUUAACUGACUGAGCCACCCAGGCACCCUGCAUAGUAGGUUCUUUAAUGAAUAUUUACUGAAGGAACCUAAGUGGCCAUCAAAAGUAGACAGUAUAAACAAGUUCUGGUAUAUUCAUUGAACAGGAAACUAGACAGCGGUGAAAAUAAAUAAAGCUUCACAUAUCAAAAAGGAUAAAUCUUGCAAUGAUAAAUACAUGGAGCAAAAAUGCAAGUUGCAGAUAAAAUCUUAUAUUGAUACAUUUAUAUGAAUGCAAUGCAAAGUAAAUGUUUUGUAUUGCUCUGGGAUACAUAUAUGUUGUAAAACUUCCAAAAACACAGAGCAAUCCAUAUUUCAUUCAGGAUAGUGGCUGUCUCUGAAAGGCAGUUUCUAUGGAAGAGGGGAACAUGGGGGUUUCGGCUACAUGGAUAAUUUUUUUUUUCAGCUUAGGAGUGUUUUCAUAGGGUUUCACUGAAUUCCUCACAACUUUAUUAUAUUUUACAUGUUUUUCUUAAAAGAAAAAUGAGCAGGGCGCCUGGGUGGCUCAGUUGGUUAAGCGACUGCCUUCGGCUCAGGUCAUGAUCCUGGAGUCUCAGGAUCGAGUCCCACAUCGGGCUCCCUGCUCAGCAGGGGGUCUGCUUCUCCUUCUGACCCUCUUCCCUCUCGUGCUCUCUCUCAUUCUCUCUCUCAAAUAAAUAAAUAAAAUCUUUAAAAAAAAAAGAAAAGAAAAGAAAAGAAAAAUGAGCAUACCUCUACC